rnacentral:misc_RNA from 1 species
UGACCGAGCGACGCCGCGUGAACGAUGAAGUAUUUCGGUAUGUAAAGUUCUUUUAUUGAAGAAGAAAAAAAUAGUGGAAAAACUAUCUUGACGUUAUUCAAUGAAUAAGCCCCGGCUAACUAUGUGCCAGCAGCCGCGGUAAGACAUAGGGGGCGAGCGUUAUCCGGAAUUAUUGGGCGUAAAGGGUGCGUAGGCGGUUAGAUAAGUCUAUAAUUUAAUUUCAGUGCUUAACGCUGUCUUGUUAUAGAAACUGUCUUGACUAGAGUGAGAUAGAGGCAAGCGGAAUUCCAUGUGUAGCGGUAAAAUGUGUAAAUAUAUGGAGGAACACCAGAAGCGUAGGCGGCUUGCUGGGUCUUUACUGACGCUGAGGCACGAAAGCGUGGGGAGCAAACAGGAUUAGAUACCCUGGUAGUCCACGCUGUAAACGAUGAGUACUAAGUGUCGGGGUAACUCGGUACUGAAGUUAACACAUUAAGUACUCCGCCUGAGUAGUACGUACGCAAGUAUGAAACUUAAAGGAAUUGACGGGACUCCGCACAAGCGGUGGAUCAUGUUGUUUAAUUCGAAGAUACACGAAAAACCUUACCAGGUCUUGACAUACUCUGCAAAGCUAUAGAAAUAUAGUGGAGGUUAUCAGGGAUACAGGUGGUGCAUGGUUGUCGUCAGUUCGUGUCGUGAGAUGUUAGGUUAAGUCCUAAAACGAACGCAACCCCUGUCGCUAGUUGCCAGCACGUAAUGGUGGGGACUUUAGCGAGACUGCCAAUUAAACAUUGGAGGAAGGUGGGGAUAACGUCAAAUCAUCAUGCCCCUUAUGAUCUGGGCUACAAACGUGAUACAAUGGCUAUUACAAAGAGUAGCUGAAACGCGAGUUUUUAGCCAAUCUCAAAAAGGUAGUCUCAGUACGGAUUGAAGUCUGCAACUCGACUUCAUGAAGCUGGAAUCGCUAGUAAUCGCGAAUCAGCAUGUCGCGGUGAAUACGUUCUCGGGGUUUGUACACACCGCCCGUCAAACCACGAAAGUUAGCAAUACCCGAAAGCAGUGGCUUAACUUCGAAAGAAGAGGGAGCUGUCUAAGGUAGGGUUGAUGAUUGGGGUUAAGUCGUAACAAGGUAUCCUUACCGGAAGGUGAGGAUGGAUCACCUCCUUUCUAAGGACAUACAUAUAAAAAUCAUCAUCUUCAGUUUUGAAAGACUUAGGUUAAAAUAUAAGUUUUUCUUUUUAUAAAAAAAGUGUUUCUCUUAUAUAAAAGACCAAAGGGCCUAUAGCUCAGUUGGUUAGAGCACACGCCUGAUAAGCGUGAGGUCGGUGGUUCAAGUCCACUUAGGCCCACCAAUUUUAUAUCAGGAAAAUAUUUACUUCGAAGAAAGUUCUUUGAAAAGUAGAUAAACAUGAUUGCU